rnacentral:rRNA from 1 species
UGGGGAAUAUUGCACAAUGGGCGCAAGCCUGAUGCAGCCAUGCCGCGUGUGUGAAGAAGGCCUUCGGGUUGUAAAGCACUUUCAGCGAGGAGGAAGGUGGUGAACUUAAUACGUUCAUCAAUUGACGUUACUCGCAGAAGAAGCACCGGCUAACUCCGUGCCAGCAGCCGCGGUAAUACGGAGGGUGCAAGCGUUAAUCGGAAUUACUGGGCGUAAAGCGCACGCAGGCGGUUUGUUAAGUCAGAUGUGAAAUCCCCGGGCUCAACCUGGGAACUGCAUUUGAAACUGGCAAGCUAGAGUCUCGUAGAGGGGGGUAGAAUUCCAGGUGUAGCGGUGAAAUGCGUAGAGAUCUGGAGGAAUACCGGUGGCGAAGGCGGCCCCCUGGACGAAGACUGACGCUCAGGUGCGAAAGCGUGGGGAGCAAACAGGGUUAGAUACCCUGGUAGUCCACGCUGUAAACGAUGUCGAUUUUGGAGGUUGUGCCCUUGAGGCGUGGCUUCCGGAGCUAACGCGUUAAAUCGACCGCCUGGGGAGUACGGCCGCAAGGUUAAAACUCAAAUGAAUUG